rnacentral:rRNA from 1 species
GACGAACGCUGGCGGCGUGCUUAACACAUGCAAGUGGAGCGACGAACCAGGCUUCGGCCUGGGGCAGAGCCGCGAACGGGUGAGUAACACGUGGGUAACCUGCCUCGAUGACCGGGACAACCCGAGGAAACCCGGGCUAAUACCGGAUGUGCUCCUUCACAUCAGUGAAGACAGGAAAGGAGCUUCGGCCUCCGCAUCGAGAUGGGCCCGCGGCCCAUUAGCUUGUUGGUGAGGAACGGCUCACCAAGGCUGCGAUGGGUAGCUGGUCUGAGAGGACGAUCAGCCACACUGGGACUGAGACACGGCCCAGACUCCUACGGGAGGCAGCAGUGGGGAAUCUUGCGCAAUGCGCGAAAGCGUGACGCAG